CAGCUAUGCUGCCAGAGUGCGCUAAAGGUUUAUAAGAGCAAGAAAAGAUGAAUAAAUCUCCGGAGUUGGUAUCAUUUGAGGAUGUGGCUGUGGACUUCACCUGGGAGGAGUGGCAGGACCUGAAUGAUGCUCAGAGGACUUUGUAUAGGGAUGUGAUGCUGGAGACCUACAACAACCUGGUGUCACUGAAUGUCCAGAUAAAUGACCUCAUGAGAAGGAACCAAGAAAGUCAUGGUAGAUGCUUGCAGCAAGUUGUAAUCAGAAACAG